rnacentral:lncRNA from 1 species
UGGGUUGUUCUUCAGCCAUCUCGACAGGUGGAGCAGAUCCUAUGGUUCUAUAGGUGUGGAUUUCGGCUCGAAGGGCCCUAAUAGAACGCUCUAUUUCAGAAUCAAAAGGUACUAAUUCAGGAGAUCUGAAACGACACCCUAGCAUACACUAAAGCUUGUUGGAUCAGUCAAGUACAGUCAAGCAUGCACUAAAGAAAAAACACAUCAAAUCCUUAUGUUUGCCCUAAAAUCACUAGACAGCUUCUAACUGGUUUGAAGAGGGCACCUAAGCCUCCAAUCCGGUCUAAUGAACUGAGUUAACCAGGUGAUAAGUGCUAAAUAAUGAAUAAAUUUAUCUAUUUUACAUAGCACUUAUUAUUAUUUUUAUGCACAUAUUUUAAAUAUAA